rnacentral:rRNA from 1 species
AGAGUUUGAUCCUGGCUCAGGACGAACGCUGGCGGCGUGCCUAACACAUGCAAGUCGAACGGGGAUUUUGUUUCGGCAGAAUCCUAGUGGCGAACGGGUGAGUAACGCGUAGGCAACCUGCCCUCCGGCCGGGGACAACACUCCGAAAGGGGUGCUAAUACCGGAUACGAAGUCUGUGCCGCAUGGUACGGAUUUGAAAGAUGGCCUCUGUUUACAAGCUAUCGCCGGGGGAUGGGCCUGCGUCCGAUUAGCUGGUUGGUGGGGUAACGGCCUACCAAGGCGACGAUCGGUAGCCGGUCUGAGAGGAUGAACGGCCACAUUGGGACUGAGACACGGCCCAGACUCCUACGGGAGGCAGCAGUGGGGAAUCUUCCGCAAUGGGCGCAAGCCUGACGGAGCAACGCCGCGUGAGUGAGGAAGCUCUUCGGAACGUAAAGCUCUGUUGUUCCUGACGAACCUCCCUUCUAUCAACAACGGAAGGGACUGACGGUAGGGAACGAGGAAGCCACGGCUAACUACGUGCCAGCAGCCGCGGUAAUACGUAGGUGGCAAGCGUUGUCCGGAAUUAUUGGGCGUAAAGCGCAUGUAGGCGGUAAUUUAAGUCUGUCGUGAAACUGCGGGGCUCAGCCCCGUAUGGCGAUGGAAACUGGGUUACUUGAGUGCAGGAGAGGAAAGGGGAACUCCCAGUGUAGCGGUGAAAUGCGUAGAUAUUGGGAAGAACACCGGUGGCGAAGGCGCCUUUCUGGACUGUGUCUGACGCUCAGGCACGAAAGCGUGGGGAGCAAAUAGGAUUAGAUACCCUGGUAGUCCACGCCCUAAACGAUGUCAACUAAAUGUUUGGUAGUGUAAAGAGCUAUCAGUAUUGUAGCUAACGCGUGAAGUUGACCGCCUGGGGAGUACGGUCGCAAGAUUAAAACUCAAAGGAAUUGACGGGGACCCGCACAAGCGGUGGAUGAUGUGGAUUAGUUCGAUGCAACGCGAAAAACCUUACCUACCCUUGACAUACAGGGAAUUUUGCAGAGAUGCGAAAGUGCCGCAAGGAAUCCUGAUACAGGUGCUGCAUGGCUGUCGUCAGCUCGUGUCGUGAGAUGUUGGGUUAAGUUCCGCAACGAGCGCAACCCUUAUCGUUAGUUGCCCUUAUUCAGUUAGGCACUCUAAUGAGACUGCCGGUGAUAAACCGGAGGAAGGUGGGGAUGACGUCAAGUCCUCAUGGCCCUUAUGGGUAGGGCUUCACACGUCAUACAAUGGUUGGUACAGAGGGAAGCCAAGUCGCAAGAUGGAGCAAAUCUCACAAAGCCAAUCGUAGUCCGGAUUGGAGUCUGCAACUCGACUCUAUGAAGUCGGAAUCGCUAGUAAUCGCGGAUCAGAAUGUCGCGGUGAAUACGUUCCCGGGUCUUGCACACACCGCCCGUCA